rnacentral:sRNA from 1 species
UCACCUCUCCUCUGGAGAGGUCAGAACUGCCUUUUCCGGCAGUUCCGGGUGAGGAC